AGCAAAGUAAAGUCUCUAUAAAUAAACGACUCUAACUUAUACAUGUGGUGUCAAAUUGUUUUUACAAUGUGUGGUCUGAGAAGAAAAAAACAAAAUACAAGGCAAUAGAAAAGAGACUUGUGACACUCAUUUGGUGUUUUGUGGCCACGCCUAUGCAAUAAUUCUUGUCCACCGAGUGGGAAAUCUGUCAACACAAUAGUACAAGUACAAACAUAAGGUGAGUUGGCAUAAUAAUUGAACAAGAGCAAAGUUCAUCAUGUUUAGUUAAUUUUUUUAUAAAGAUCAAACUUAAAGCUCAUCAUCGUAAGGUAAAGAACAAAAGUAACACCAACAUUCAAGUUAAUAAAAAGAAACAUUCAUUUUCAUAGAUAAAGAACAAAAGUAACAACCACAUUCAAGUACUUAACCGAGAGAUCAGACCCACCUUAAGCAAGUACAAACACAAACUUAAGGUUUAAAAAAGCUUAAACAUAAACUUUAACAGAAAACAUUCUAAAACAAUUCAGUCAUGAGUUUCUUCUUAACAUCUUCCUCAUACUCUGAUAGUGGCCCUUGCUUGGCCAAAAGACAUUCAAGUAUACCCAUCUUUUUGAUUUUUGCCUUCAUUUCCAAGUCUUUCUCUUGAAUUGGCCACACUGCUUGAAGCGCAAGCAAUGGUUCUUCUUUCUCUACCGCUGGCUUCUUGCCCUUGGCUUUAGAUGCCUUGACACCUGCAGGUCGCUUGCCUCCAUUAUCUUCAUCGCAAGGGUGGGUCUCCUCAGCACCCGAUCCAUCUAAAACUCUUCUUUUUUUGGAGUUUCCAGCGACUUUUUCUGUUGAAAGAGCAGACCAUUUCUGAUCAUUUCUGAGCUCAUACCAAGCAUGCUCUAAAGUGAACUUCUUCUUGUGAUUGUUGUAGAAUAUCUCAUGAGCCAUUUUGAGAAUAUCAUUCUCAUUCUGACCACUUGAUCUCUCUCUACAAGCAGCCUCAUAUGCUCCACAGAAUUUGCAUACUUGAUCAUUUAUUUUCUGCCAUCUUUGCUUGCAUUGGAUCGCCUCUAUCUUCUCACCAACACACUUUGAAGAUGCUGAAAAAUAAAUGGCUGUUGACUUCUGUUCAUUUCCCACCACAGCAUCCUUACUAGUGUUUAACUACGAGCUAAUGAGAAGAAUAUCAUCACUCGGGCUCCACUGUCUUCUUUCCUUCUUUUCCACAACAGGUGAUGCUUCACCGAUGGAUGCAGCACACAGAGGGGUUUCUUCAACAAAGCUUGAUGGAUAUCCGCAAAAAACAGAAUCUUGUUGACUGUUCAACAGUUCAACAAAGCUGGGGUAGAAGAGAAUGCCAUUUGGUACAAGGAAAGAUGAGAAGAAAAGACCAGAAGAAAAGAUAAAAAGUUGAGAAGAAAAGAUGAGAAGAGAAGGAUUAAAAGAAAAGAUGAGAAGAAAAGAAGAGAAGUUUGAGGCAAGUCGCUUUUGGGAAUUGGUUGUGGAAAUGGGUUAAGGGAUUACAAGAAAAGAUGAGAAGAAAGAGAUGAAGCAAGACUCUUUUACGGAAAGAGGAAGAAGGAGAAUCAAAAACAGAACAAAAAACAAGCACAAACUGAGAAGAAGAAGGAAAGAAAAUAUGAUUAUAAAUAGAGGAAGCACCAGCUAUGAAAUAAACCAACGAUGCAACAUUAAUGAAGGUAAUGAAAAGGAACAUUGAAAGAAGAAAACCAUAAACGUUUUCCAGGGUUCAUACCCCAUUUAAUAUCAUAAACCAACCUAAUCUCAGCCAUUACUCUACACUAAAGCAAAAAGAGGUAUAUUGAGUUGACAUUUAUCUAACACAGAAUCAGCUUUCAUUAACCACUUCCCUAAAUCAUUAAACCCUUUAAAACCAUGAAAACUGAAGCAGCAUUGAUCAAGCCUCAACCACUCCAUAUCUAACUAGGCAUUAAUUGUCAUCAACAAAACUAGAAGACUAACCUUAACCUUUGUAACGAGCAAAGAGAAGAGGAACCUUGGUUACGAGCAUAGAGAAGAAGAACAGUAGGAGAUAGACCUUUGGCAUAAUAAGCAAAAUCUGCAAAAACCAUUAACCAUAUUAUGAACCAUCACCGAGCAUGAACAAUUUCAAUCAUGAACCAUUAACUUAAGCUAAAAGAGAUAGAAAUAGAUAGAGCAUAUGAUCAAAAACGAUUUACAUAUGAUGAACCACAUACCAUUUACAGAUCAACAACCAUUUGCAGAUCAUGAACCGUUUACAAAUUACAGAUCAGAAAACCAUUUACAAUGCAUCGAUUUAGAGACUAAUUCAGGAAAUAGAUAGAAACUACAUGCAACAUAGAGAGAUCAUUUAACUAUUUCUAAGAUUUACAAACGAAAUCCUCGAUGAAGAACACGAGAAAGAAGAUGAAGAAUCAAAAACGAACAAAGAGGAUUAAGAGGAUUAAGAAUCACUUAUCUGUUAAAUCGAUGGAAAACAGAUACAAGCCUCUGCAUAUCGGUGCCGGAGAAGAAGAGCAUCGCCGGAGAAGAAGAGCAUCGCCGGAGAAGAAGAGCAUCGCCGGAGAAGAAGAGCAUCGCCGGAUGAAUUAGUCGGGUGCUUCGGUGAGAUCGUUUCGACUCAAAGAGAAAUGGCCAUGUUUUUUUGACCGAAGAAGAUGAGAUUUGGCCGAAUUUUUUUCAAGCCACUCAAAG
rnacentral:lncRNA from 1 species